rnacentral:rRNA from 1 species
UACGAAGGGGGCUAGCGUUGCUCGGAAUCACUGGGCGUAAAGGGUGCGUAGGCGGGUCUUUAAGUCAGGGGUGAAAUCCUGGAGCUCAACUCCAGAACUGCCUUUGAUACUGAAGAUCUUGAGUUCGGGAGAGGUGAGUGGAACUGCGAGUGUAGAGGUGAAAUUCGUAGAUAUUCGCAAGAACACCAGUGGCGGAAGGCGGCUCACUGGCCCGAUACUGACGCUGAGGCACGAAAGCGUGGGGAAGCAAACAGGG